rnacentral:rRNA from 1 species
UACGUAGGUGGCAAGCGUUGUCCGGAUUUACUGGGCGUAAAGGGCGUGCAGGCGGUUUGUUAAGUCUAGGGUGAAAGCUCCCGGCUCAACUGGGAGAGGUCCUUGGAUACUGGCGAACUUGAGGGAUGCAGAGGAAAGUGGAAUUCCCGGUGUAGUGGUGAUAUGCGUAGAUAUCAGGAGGAACACCGAUGGCGAAGGCAGCUCGCUGGGACGGUACUGACGCUGAGACGCGAAAGCGUGGGGAGCAAACAGG